CCUACGGGAGGCAGCAGUGAGGAAUAUUGGUCAAUGGCCGCAGGGCUGAACCAGCCAAGUCGCGUGAGGGAUGACGGUCCUAUGGAUUGUAAACCUCUUUUGUCAUGGAGCAAAGGGCGCCACGUGUGGCGCUUUGCGAGUACCUGAAGCAAAAGCAUCGGCUACCUCCGUGCCAGCAGCCGCGGUACUACGGAGGAUGCUAGCGUUAUACGGAUUUAUUGGGUUUAAAGGGUGCGCAGGCGGAAUGUCAAGUCAGCGGUAAAAUUUCGGGGCUCAACCCCGUCGUGCCGUUGAAACUGGCGUUCUUGAGUGAGCGAGAAGUAUGCGGAAUGCGUGUUGUAGCGGUGAAAUGCAUAGAUAUCACGCAGAACUCCGAUUGCGAAGGCAGCAUACCGGCGCUCAACUGACGCUCAUGCACGAAAGCGUGGGUAUCGAACAGGAUUAGAUACCCCAGGAGUC
rnacentral:rRNA from 1 species